AGUGAACGCUGGCGGCGUGCCUAACACAUGCAAGUCGAGCGAUUCUCUUCGGAGAAGAGCGGCGGACGGGUGAGUAACGCGUGGGUAACCUGCCCUGUACACACGGAUAACAUACCGAAAGGUAUGCUAAUACGAGAUAACAUAAGAAAUUCGCAUGUUUUUCUUAUCAAAGCUCCGGCGGUACAGGAUGGACCCGCGUCUGAUUAGCUAGUUGGUGAGGUAACGGCUCACCAAGGCGACGAUCAGUAGCCGACCUGAGAGGGUGAUCGGCCACAUUGGAACUGAGACACGGUCCAAACUCCUACGGGAGGCAGCAGUGGGGAAUAUUGCACAAUGGGCGAAAGCCUGAUGCAGCAACGCCGCGUGAGCGAUGAAGGCCUUCGGGUCGUAAAGCUCUGUCCUCAAGGAAGAUAAUGACGGUACUUGAGGAGGAAGCCCCGGCUAACUACGUGCCAGCCGCCGCCGUAA
rnacentral:rRNA from 1 species